rnacentral:rRNA from 1 species
UACGGGAGGCAGCAGUAGGGAAUAUUGCACAAUGGGCGAAAGCCUGAUGCAGCAACGCCGCGUGUGCGAUGAAGGCCUUCGGGUCGUAAAGCACUUUUCUGAGAGAUGAGAAAGGACAGUAUCUCAGGAAUAAGUCUCGGCUAACUACGUGCCAGCAGCCGCGGUAACACGUAGGAGGCGAGCGUUAUCCGGAUUCACUGGGCGUAAAGCGCGUGCAGGUGGUUCGGUAAGUUGGGCGUGAAAUCUCCUGGCUCAACUAGGAGAGGUCGUUCAAUACUACCAGACUUGAGAGCAGUAGAGGAAAGUGGAAUUCCCGGUGUAGUGGUGAAAUGCGUAGAUAUCGGGAGGAACACCAGUGGCGAAGGCGACUUUCUGGACUGUUUCUGACACUCAGACGCGAAAGCUAGGGUAGUAAACGGGAUUAGAGACCCCGGUAAUCCUAGCCGUAAACGAUGUGAACUUGGCGUUGGUGGAUUAAACCCCAUCAGUGCCGAAGCUAACGCGAUAAGUUCACCGCCUGGGGACUACGAUCGCAAGAUUAAAACUCAAAUGAAUUGACGG